AUUGAACGCUGGCGGCAGGCUUAACACAUGCAAGUCGAGCGGAGCGAGGGUGCUUGCACCUUAGCUUAGCGGCGGACGGGUGAGUAAUGCUUAGGAAUCUGCCUAUUAGUGGGGGACAACAUUCCGAAAGGAAAGCUAAUACCGCAUACGUCCUACGGGAGAAAGCAGGGGAUCUUCGGACCUUGCGCUAAUAGAUGAGCCUAAGUCGGAUUAGCUAGUUGGUGGGGUAAAGGCCUACCAAGGCGACGAUCUGUAGCGGGUCUGAGAGGAGGAUCCGCCACACUGGGACUGAGACACAGCCCAGACUCCUACGGGAGGUAGCAGUGGGGAAUAUUGGACAAUGGGGGGAACCCUGAUCCAGCCAUGCCGCGUGUGUGAAGAAGGCCUUAUGGUUGUAAAGCACUUUAAGCGAGGAGGAGGCUACUGAGACUAAUACUCUUGGAUAGUGGACGUUACUCGCAGAAUAAGCACCGGCUAACUCUGUGCCAGCCGCCGCCGUAAAAC
rnacentral:rRNA from 1 species